UAAACAAUGCUUGUCAUAUGCUUGUCUCAGUCGUAACAAGGUUUCACUGUAGUCAUAUGCUUGUCUCAAGUCGUAACAAGGUUUCACUGUAGUCAUAUGCUUGUCUCAAGUCGUAACAAGGUUUCACUGUCCUCAUAUUCUUGACGGGAGUAUUUAUUUAAAAAAAAACCCAUGCCCUUCCGGGCUCCUUGGUGAAUCCUAAUAACUUAACGAAUCCCAUGGGCUUGGCCCCGGGAUGGGUCAUUUCAAUUUCUGCCCUAUCAACUUUCCAAGGGAAGAUAAGGGCCUACCCUGGGGGCAACGGGUAACGGGGAAUUAUGGGUCCAUUCCCGAAAAGGAACCUGAAAAAACGCUACCCCAUUCCAGGAAAGGAGCAGGGGCCCAAAUUACCCCAUCCCCACUCCGGGAAGGAAGGACAAAAAAUACUGAUACCGGGCUCUUUUGGGUCCCCGAAUUGGAAAUAAUACAAUCUAAAUCCCUUAACCAAGAACCAUUGGAAGGCAAAUCUGGGGGCAACAACCCCCGUAUUUCAGCUCCCAUAACCGAUAUUAAAAUUGUUGCAAUUUAAAAGCUUCGUAAUUGAACCUUGGGUCUUGGCUGGCCGGUCCCGCUCAACCGCGAGUACUGGUCCGGCUGGAGCUUUUCCUUCUGGAGAAUCUCAUGGCCUUCACUUGGCUGUGGGGGGAACCAAGACUUUUACUGGUGAAAAAU
rnacentral:rRNA from 1 species